rnacentral:rRNA from 1 species
AUGAACGCUGGCGGCGUGCCUAAUACAUGCAAGUCGAGCGCACAGACGAGGAGCUUGCUCCUCUGACGUUAGCGGCGGACGGGUGAGUAACACGUGGAUAACCUACCUAUAAGACUGGGAUAACUUCGGGAAACCGAAGCUAAUACCGGAUAAUAUAUUGAACCGCAUGGUUCAAUAGUGAAAGACGGUUUUGCUGUCACUUAUAGAUGGAUCCGCGCCGCAUUAGCUAGUUGGUAAGGUAACGGCUUACCAAGGCAACGAUGCGUAGCCGACCUGAGAGGGUGAUCGGCCACACUGGAACUGAGACACGGUCCAGACUCCUACGGGAGGCAGCAGUAGGGAAUCUUCCGCAAUGGGCGAAAGCUUGACGGAGCAACGCCGCGUGAGUGAUGAAGGUCUUCGGAUCGUAAAACUCUGUUAUUAGGGAAGAACAAAUGUGUAAGUAACUAUGCACGUCUUGACGGUACCUAAUCAGAAAGCCACGGCUAACUACGUG